CGAAAUGCGAUAAGUAAUGUGAAUUGCAGAAUUCAGUGAAUCAUCGAAUCUUUGAACGCACAUUGCGCCCGCCAGUAUUCUGGCGGGCAUGCCUGUCCGAGCGUCAUUUCAACCCUCGAACCCCUCCGGGGGGUCGGCGUUGGGGAUCGGCCCUGCCUCUUGGCGGCGGCCGUCUCCGAAAUACAGUGGCGGUCUCGCCGCAGCCUCUCCUGCGCAGUAGUUUGCACACUCGCAUCGGGAGCGCGGCGCGUCCACAGCCGUUAAACACCCAACUUCUGAAAUGUUGACCUCGGAUCAGGUAGGAAUACCCGCUGAACUUAAGCAUAUCAAUAA
rnacentral:rRNA from 1 species